UUCCACCUGCUGGCAUCUGUGUGCCCAGCACACAAAGCCUGGGCAACGGGCGACUCCUGGAGAAGGCACCUGUGCUGGCUAAAAGGGGUCCCAAGAGAACUGCCUGGACAGUGUGGGCAAGGUGGAUCCCACAGGGAAGGUCACCACAACUACUCACAAUAACUGAGGAGGCCAGACACAUUGUGAAAACCUUACUGCGAAGGCAUCAGAGAGCUGCAGAGGCUGCGAGGACUUAACGAACUAAAAUUCCAGAGAAUGGAGAACUGUCAGAUAAGCAGGUGACCCACAGCCAUCUUUUUACCUGGGGACAUUUGCCUAUUUGGGACACUGGGCUAAGGAUUGGGCUUGGCCCAGGCAGAGAGCUACAGCCGGGGAAGAAGAAACCAGCAAAGAUUCUCACUGUCACAGGGAGGAAAGUGGCAAAAUCGGAGUGUCCAGGGCCACAACCAGGCAGCGGGGCCCUCAGCCCCACCCCAAGACACCUGUAGGAUCUCAAUGCUGCUGCAGGAGGAGGCUCAGGAGCAAGUUGAGCAGCUCUGUGAGGCUGGACUGCACUUCCCACAGCCUUUCAAAGUGGGGAGAUCAAGACCCGCCAGGCUCUCAGCUGAAAUCUGGAGAGACCAAUCCCCCAAACCAGGGCAAACCAGAGGAAGCCUGAACCCCAUCAAACUACACACCAGUCCACCCGGGCCCAUCCCUCACUGGGUUGAGGGACCUGCCCCUCUGUCCAUCCUAACUGCCUGAGGUUUUUGCUCCCAAUACAAGCCAGGUGGCUCCAAUUAGAACAACUAAUGUGCAAAUAACAACUAUAAUUGCCAGGCCGGGCACAGUGGCUCACACCUGUAAUCCCA
rnacentral:lncRNA from 10 species